UGCACGUUCACUGUCUCGCACGUGGAUGUCCAGUUCUUCCAGCACCAUUCGUUGAUAAGACUGUCUUUGCUCCAUUGUAUGGUCUGUGCUCCUUUGUCAAAGAACGGUGGAGUAUGUUAACGGGCAUCUAUUUCUAGGCUCUCUGUUCUGCUCCUUUGGUCCAUUUGUCUGUUCUUUCACCAGUACCACACUGUCUUGAUUGCUGUAGCUUUAUAGUGAAUUUUGACAUUGGCUCAUGUCAGUCCUUCAACUUUUUUCUUCUUUGAUAUUAUGUUGACUUUUAAAAAGCUGUUGCAGUUGCGAUACGGUCAGAGAAAAUCUAUAUGAUAUUGCUCCCGUGCACGUUUUUAAUGCUUUGUUUAUGUCCAAAUAUGUUGUCUGUUUUCAUAAAUGUCACUUGUGUGCUCUCAAACAAGAUGUGUUCUGUUUGCUCUAGAGAGAGAUCGUGUCAGUCUGUUCUUAUUUUCUUUGCUCUUUUUGGAAGCUUUUAGAAUUUUCUCUUCAUUUCCAUGGAUCCUUUACAGAUAAUUUUUUACUUCCUUCUUUAACUUUGUGAAAUUUAUCUUCAUUAGUUUUUGAAUAUUACCUCUUCUCUGUUUUCUUUUUUUUUCAUCUUAGUUGUCUUGGAUUUCAUUUAUUUCAGAUGUUAGAUGUCUUUUUUUACCCACCAUAUCACACUGCUGUUCUUUUAAAUAUUCUCUCACUUUAUUGUUUUAUUCUGUUUCCUGGGAGAGUUUCUCAAUGUCAUUUUCCAUGUCCUAAUAAUUUGCUGUUCUCAUGUAUCCACACUGCUAUUUAUCCCAUGACUUAAGUCUUUAACAAUCCGUCCUUUUACACCUAUUUCCUCAUGAGAUUUCCCUUAUGCUUUCUCCAUUGUCACUUCGUGCUACUAACAUCUUCCCUUGUAUCUUUAAGUGUAUUUGUCAUGCUUAUGUUCCAGUAUGUUCCAGUAGUUCUACUUCAAAUGGGCUAUGUUGCUCACUUUGUUGUAUUUCUUUUUCAGUCGUUGUACUCCUCAGGUAUGUAAUUGUUUUGACUUGUGAGCUUUCAUUCCUUGUGGCUGUUGGCUACUCUGUCUGGCAUCUUGUAUUAGAGAAGGGCUAACGUUUUGCUUGGGACCAUCUCAGUCUGUGGCUGUUAUCUCAGAAUAAUUAUUAAUAGUGUGUCCUUUUCACUCUCAGAAGUGUCCUCUCUUGGGUGCUGUAUUAUAUAGUCACCUUUGUUGAGACCUAGGACCUAAGGUGUGUUUUUCUAAGUAAGUUUAAUAUGAGGGCAGGUGAUGGGCCCAGGCGCAGACAGUCUCAGAAACCGUGAAACACUGUGACCACUCAACUCCUGUGGUCAGGAUCUGUCACCUUUGAGCUCUUGGGGAAAGCGGCAUUUGAGGAGGCAUUUGAGGUUGUCACCUGGGGCUUGGGAGACGGAGGAGGUGGAGGAGUGAAGGAUCAAGGAUUGUUCAGCCCUUCCCUGCUUUCAUCAGCUAACCUAAUGCUACUC
rnacentral:lncRNA from 1 species